CCGCACUGCCGAGUGUCCCCUGGUCCUUCUCAUGGCCUUGGGGGCAUUUUUUUAUUCAGUGCCAGAGUGACCCCCUUCCUGCAGAAUGGCCGGGAUCUGCUGUGACCCGAUCAUUCCGAAGGUUGGGAACAAAA